UGGGGCUUGCUGGUGAAAACCCUGCUUUCCCCUCCCUGCCACCGCAGCCUUGCAGCACCACGGGCGCUACCGGGGGCACACGAACGGGUCCCCCCCCGGCCUCGCUGCUCGUCCCCCUCCUGAGAGGAGGAGGAGGAGGAGGAGGGAGGAAGGCAGCGGGGCGGGGCGAGGGCCUGGGCUCCCGCAGCGCCGCCGGGCUCUAGAAAUGCCCGACGGACUUGAACAGAGCAAAACACUUUUCAAGCAGCAAAGGGCUCUGCUGCCAGUUAUUUGAUGCCCUGCUCUGGUUCCUGCUGUCAUUGUCCUGUUUUCCAUCCUUCAUCCUUAAUUGACCUUGAGCAGCAGGCAUCUUGAAGGUGAGGGUGAGAACGUAAUGAAUCAGAGGAGGCAGUGGUGAAGGAUUUGUCGGGUGCUCAGCCUCGCAGGUGAAGCAGCUGAGAUCUUUCAGAACAGCGAUCUCUCUUCCAAGAUGGAUCAGGCAGAGUUGCCCAGACACCACGAAGCUUGAUUUUGUGUUAUAAAGGGAUCUUCAGCUCUAAACCUCAGGCGAGGAAGCAGUCAUUUCUUGGUAUCUGAAAAGCAGUCCAUCUCCAUUACUUCUGUCAUUACCAGAUGUUGAACUGGCAGCCUGCAGCUCCAGUGGUCCUGCUUCUGGCUCUUCAUCCUCCAGGUCAUGUACGCUGUCCCUGUGUGUUUAGGCUGUGUGCAUUUCUGAAGUCUGGGCACAUUCCUCUCCGUCCCAGUGAUUCCUAUUCAGAAAAAUUGAAUUAAUCACAGUCACGCUUUCAAGAUCACAUCCUCAGCAGGUGUCCUGGUUUCAGUUAGUUAGUUAUGGUUUUGGAUUAGGUUGAGAUUACAACAAUUAAAACAUCAGUGUGUUAUCAGCACUUUUCUCAUCCAAACCAUAGCACCCUACCAGCUACUAGGAGGAAAAUUAACUCUGUCCUAACUGAAAUCAGGAUAGCAGGUAAGGGGAUAUGCCUGAAACUGUUAUUUGACUAUUUUUUUUUUUCCAGAGCCACUGUUUGAGUUAAAUGAAUUAAAAAUGCUUGAACAGCAACGAGUCCAUGAAAAUACUGCAAAGCUAUUUACUACAAAUGCACUACAGCAUUGCCCCAAACUGCAGAAGCUACCAUGUAGAAAAGCAGUUAAAAUAAUUCUUUGCUAUUGAGGAUUUGUGGAAACUAAAUGGAGGAAGAGUUCUGCUUCUGACUCUAAUUCCCUCGGGACCCCCUGUAGCCAGGCUCAGUCUCUGUUCCUGGGGUGCUCCUUUCUAGUCCUGGCCUUGUGACAAGAGUUGGUCCACUUGGUGUUAUUGCCACUUAAUUAAGUAGUUUAUGGCAAAAACUAGAUGUCUGCAUCCAAGAUCAUGUUGAUAAUGUAGUUCCUGCUUAUUCUGAGGCAGGGAUGUUUCUGUUAUGCUGUUAUAGUUGCUGUUGCAGGGUCUUGUACCCGACUGAGUUUCCAGUGCAAUCAGCUCAGGAAAUCAGUGAUACCCUCUACCACUUACCUGUUUGUGCACCUGAGUGGGACAUCUUGCAUCAUAAACCUGGGAUCAGUUUUAGCCACGCAGUCCUUGCACAAGGUACUAUUACACUGACAGCUAGAACACCUAGUCGGCAAAAGAAAAAGAAAAAAAAAAAAAAGGCAGGACAUUGAUUUUUUGACCCAGGAAAUCUGUUCCCAGCAUGAUUUGGCCACAAGCACUAGGAUCCAGGUGAAGUGUAGGUCCCUGAUCUGCUGUAAUGAGCUGGCUGGAAAGCUGUUGUAUAAAAUCACACCCUUUCUUGCUAAGAAAUGGGAGAUCUUUGCUUAUUUAAAAACUGUCAGUUAACUUCUAGGCGCUGGAAGUACGAGUUGGGGGUUGGACACCGACUGUGCUGGCGUGGUACAGACAUCUAGUUCUGGACUGUCAGGGCACAGCUAGCUUCAGGAAGGGUGUGGGGUAAGGAGGACAGUCUAGGCAUAAAAGCAGAAAUUUGGGUGGCUAAGGAUCCUGAGGUCCUUUGAGUUUGGGACUCGAGCACAAUGAAAAUGUGUUCAGGCUCAGUGGACUGAGUGAGGGGCUAUGGCAGGUAGGAUGAGGUUGUGCCUAGAGAAAGAGCUCGUGGCUCCCUGUUUAGUGCAGUCUGGAGCAUUUUUUAUUCAUUAACACUAAAUUGUACAGGAAUUUGGUGUGACAAAGGGAAGUGUGAGAGCACAGGGCAGAGGGCAUGAAAGACCACGCUGGCCUGUGGAAGAAGACUGGCUGAAGGUUUUGUCAAGGACUGGACUUGCCAGCUUCCCACCAAGCUUUAAGAUGCGGCUCUCAGCUCCGUUUAGAUGGAGCUCUGCUUCAGAGCUGCACUUGAAAACCUCAUGGAGAAUGAGCCCGCAGGGGGGACCGUAAUUGCCAUGUGUUGUGGCCAUAAUGAUACAGGGGAAAGAACAGGGGCAGCUGUAGGGAACAAAUGAGAUGUUACGCCUGACUCCCAGAUCUCAUUUUUCUGGGUGUUAGGUCUGUCCUGGAAGGCAGGAGGCGGGCUGGGAACCUGGCUCUCCUCAGCUGUGUGCAUGCCCUCUUUUCAUCCCGGCACAGCAGCGAGAUGCCUGUCAGAAGGCAGGAGCAAGAAGAGGGAUUGGGGCCAAGCUCCCUGCUAGCAGAACCACCCUAAACUCUGCCUCUGCACCAAAGGGUAACUUCCUUCCAGUGCUGGGGGGCUGAGCAAAUGUUCCCCGUGUAGGGGAAAUGACUUGUUCUGUCUCCCGCUACCCUUUAAGGGGUCAAACUGAUGGAUAUGGGAUCAAUGCACAAAAGGUGAGUUGUGUGGAGUAAUUUUCAAAACGUAAGUGACCCCGAAACCAGAGCAGAGGAGAAAGGUCGGAGUGGCUGAGCUUUGGAUUUAGCUCCUGCUGUGGCUCUCCAACAGGACCAUGAGCAAUUGCCCAUCCUACUGUACGUGGCCAUGAGCUGCACAGCCUGCUCUAACACCUGUCAGAGCCAGGAGCAGUGAGCCUGUCGGAUCAGGUGAGCGUUCUUCUUUUUCCAGGUUCGCUGGAUGGAAAACGAUUGUGUCCCUUCCUCACCCUGCCAUCAGCUGUGACAGUCUCCGUAUCCUUUACCUCUGGGCAGCAAAAUGGGAUGUUUGCCUUGUUACAUGUGGUUUCCUUUAGGGCAAACAAAAUACCAAGUAAUUUUUUAAAUGAAUGUUAAUUUUCAUUCUGACUUCACACAGUCUGGGCUCUCAAAUCCUGACUGCUCUCCCCAGCCGUCCAUCACCGACUCUCAUGUUUUGAUGGCUCUUGUCUCAAACAGUUGGGUAAAAAGACCUUGGUUAUUUUCUUUCCUUUUUCCCCUCUGAGAAGUGUCUCAUUUACUUUUUGCAGCUGUCCUGACUCUCUCCCCCUAUCAUUACUGUGAAGCAAUGUGGCAAUUACGGAGCUGGCCACCCCCGGGAGGAGGUGUGCUCCGCUGGCUUUCAAAGAGUUUGCAGCACUGUACUUUGUGCUCAGCUCCAAAGCUCUUCUCUUCUCCCUGUGAAAUGGGGUUUAAUGCUCCGCCGUUCCGAGUACGGUAGCAUCUGUACAGAUACAAAAUGUCUGGAUCAUGGGUUGGUUUCAGGAAGCUUCGAUUCUUCAUUUCCUUUGCAAUUUAUAUUGUCCCACGCUUCCCCUUCCCUCUUCAUUCCCCUCAGAGGACAGCUGUGGUCUUAACCGAGCAUCUCAGGUGGUGUAAAAGCAUCGAUGGCUUUGGCGUUGAAGUACCACGUGAGGACAGAGGAAACAGAUAUUAGGCAGUGCCAGAGGGGGAUGCCCCUCCAGAAGGGAUGGAGACGCUCAGGUCUCGUUGCUGUCAGCCCAUGGCUUGGUGGAACCAUUUCACAGCUGCCUGUCCUCCCCUGGCUCUGCUGGGUGCCCUGGCCCGAAUCUGGAGCUGUUUGGUUCCUGCAGGCCAGCUGGCUGUUGUGGACAUCGAGGUGGUCAGGCAGCAGGGGCUGGGCUAAUGAGAAAGGAAGGCUUUGGGGUCCAGCACUGACCCUGCUGAAGCCACGUACAUCAGUAAUUCAGACCCCAAUCCUAUUGCUAGGGCUCAGCCAGACCUGGUGGUUUUUGUUGAAGACAAAUGGGGUGUUUGGUAGCUUGCCUAAACCUGUGGGCAACCUCAGUGCCGUUUCUUUGGUAGCUUGUGGGAAGUAUUUGGGGCUUUGUGUAAGGUGGUAUAAAGCGAUCCCACGCAGCUGGAGGCCAGAGGGAAGGGUAUUUUAGGGCUCUGAAGAUCUCUGCUCCAGUGACAGCUGUCUUGCUGCUGCCGUGGUCAGGCUUGUUUCUUCACUUGUUUUGGAACCACUGAACAACAAAAUCUCCUUUCGUUCCCUUUGCUCUGAGGUGGGAGAAUUAAGUCUUAAGCCCUAGUAGAAUUAAUGAGUGUUUUGUCAGUCUCUUUCCCUGACGUGGGCUGGGUGCAGGCCCCAGAAGCACAGGGUUUGGAGCACGGACUGGAUGAGUUGGGAGGAUUUUUGCCAUCAGGGCCAGGCUGCAAAGGCAGCAGCAGGUAGGGGAGGGAGAUGCUGGUCCUUGUGGCGGGCUGACCUCUCUUUUUGAGGGCCAGCUGCUAACAAGCUGCUUUCUGCUGGCAGGGCUGAGGGCCCAUCAGUCUCCUUCCUCAGAGGUGAGCCCACAGGAGUCCCUUGCUUCGGGCUUCGCUGCAUAGCUUUGUUAGAGCCUGACAGCACUUGACGUUUCCCAGACAAUGCUUAAAUCUGCCAAUUGGCAGUACUUAACGCUCUCCUUCUGGCCUUCCAGCAGCGGUGCCUCUAAACUUUUGUUUUCCCUUCAAGGAACGGUUAGCAAAAGCUUCUGCAUUUUGUCACUCGCCAAAUGCCACCAGUGAAGCUGGGCUCUUGUUGCUUUGGGCAUUUACAGUUGCGUUUAAUUAGGACAUGUGCUUGUCUGGCCAGGGGCUGAUGGACAGCUCGAGUGACAAAGACCAGGAGAAAAAUAGAGGCUUUACUGUGUAGCUACUUGAAGGAAUAUUUCUUUAGUCCAGUUGUCUUUGGACGUGUCCUUCGGGAGGGGGAUAGCAGGCCUCAGAAUUGAGCUUUCUUGACCAGCUUUUUAAGAUCUGAGCUCUUAAGGGUGAAAAUACAUUUGUCCAUAGGAAUCAAUAUAUUUCAUAGUGCUCUAGAUUGAACAGACAAAGGAGUUGGCCUGCAUUUAGUGAACUCCCUGGCUGUGAAUAACUCAGCCAGCCCCGCGCCUCACCUGGAGACACCUGAGGCUUGUUUGGUAUUCACUGCAGAGACUUCAGGCUGGGACAGAGAUGCGGCUGGUCUGCAAGUUACUGCUUUACCCACCAGAAGGCAGGAGGCACUCUCAAGUAGCUUCUCUUGAUGGAGACCUGAGACCUCUGCCUUUCAGUCCUGGACUUCAGACAGCAGCUUUCACAGAUCCCAUCUCUCAUCUCAGGAGGGUUCAGCUUUGCUUUGCCAAGGCUUGGUGGCUGAAGACAUCCUCAACUGUAGAUCCGUAGGAGACAAACCCCUCUAGCAAGCCAUAUUCUAUCAAGAUACCUAUCAAGAUACCAGGCAGCCUUAACAGUUAGACCCCUGGCUGUACGAACAGGCAGGCAGCAGCUCUGGCUUUGCCUUGGCUGGGCAGUGGACGCCUGCAAGCAAGCUCCCUGCAAGCAAGACUCUUCUGAGUGGCUGAGCUGAGAUCUCCAGGUUCCUAAUCAGAGCAAAGGCUGUCCCUGCCAAAUCAGAGUUGGGCUCCUGAUUGCAUCCUGAUAGAAAAGAUUACUCAUUCAGUGGAAAACAGAGCUACUAUUUUAUUGAGGGUUUCGGCAUAUGUUAGCUGAGCAAAUCUUGGCACUCAGGCUGUGCUGUGGCUCUGCUUCUCGGAGCCCGUGAGCUGGCCUGGCUCAGGAAUGUUACUUGCUUUCUGCUUUUCCUCCUCUGUGUGGCUUGGGCACUACAGGAACCCUUUCCCUUCUUUCCAUUUCAGCAGCCCAUUGACCAUAUGCUCCAUCGGGUUGUCUGGUACUCUGGCCUCUGUGUCUUGGCUGAAACCCUCUGCUUUGUACCAGCAACUGUCUUUCUGGAUGCCGAUCCGUGCCUUGCUGUGUUUGUGUGCAGCUGAUAGACCAGGAGAUGAUGGUGCAGAAGCCAGUGCUGUUGUUAACCCCCUGCUGCCACUGCGAGGAGCUCUGGGUGGUUCCAAAAGGGCAUACUUCUUGAGACCAGAACUUAAAAUUCCUACAACGUAGGUAACCGUGACUGAGACUUGUGUUUGUCCUUUAGGUGCUAUUGCCCCGAGGAUCACAUUUAUUUCUUCCAGGAAAGAGAAAAAGGAGGAAACUCAACAUACCAAAAAACAAGUCACACUUUUCUUCCUGACUUUGUUACAAGAGCCAGUUCAGGUUGAAUCACUGACAUGCUGAGCCUUCCUCCUCUCACCGGGAGAAGUCUGGAAAUCUGUAUCUUCAUAUUUCUUACUAAAAAUGUCCUAGCACAGACGUUCACACUUCACUAUAACAUAUCUACUAGGAGCAGUUACAAGUCUGCACCAAUUUAUUGCAGUCAACCAUGCUUAAAGCGAGUGGUGCCUAUUCACCUUGCAGUAGUGACAAGGCUGAAUUGAGGAUGCUUUGAAAAAUUCUUGCUAUCAGGGCUUAGAUUUUUGAUAUCAUUCUUGCUCCCCGUGUACAGUACUUGCCACAGGGAUAUCUGGACCAGCAGCAUCUGCCUCCCCACACCAGGGAGCACAGAGCCACUGGUGUGGACAGUGGUGUGGACAGUGGUAUGUGUACUGUACCUGGAGUGAGAAUCAGCCUUUGUUCCAGACCCAGCCUCCCCAAAAGCUGCUUCCCUGUUUCCGUGGGGUUACUGGUCCAUUGCACAUUCUCUGGCGCUCAUAUGCACAAGGCAGAUAACCUCAGUGCCUUUCAGCUACACACGGGCCUCCCUCUUUGGUAGGAAGCAGCUGGCGUUUUUAUCUCGGCUGAUGGUUCAACAGAUGGCUGCUUCACAACAAAAAGCAACCCAAACAGGAGACUUUCUUCUCUUCGGUCACCCAAGGACUUUGAAGGUGUGUGCUGAGGUCGGCUCCCAGAGCAAGGGCUGCGGGAUCACAGUGCAGAACGUCUCUUGUCACAGCCAAUGACAAACUUGUGUCUGGAAACUUUGAAGGCAAAUACGGGCUUAUGGGGCCUGGAAGGUGGGGAAUCUCCAGGCUGGGAGAUAUUAAACACUGCUGGAUCCAUCCAUGUGCAAUCUGAUUUAUCUUUGAAAAUUGGCCCUCUUGUGAGCAGGGGAUUGCACCAGAGACAUCCAAAAGUCCCUUCCUCCUAAAUUUUUCCAUGGUUUUACCUGAUCCAACUGAUGAUCAUGCGCUCUGCUAUGUGAGGAGCGAGGGAAAGGAAGAGAAACGAGCAUUACAGAACAUCUGGAAGUGCAGUGGUGUUCUUGUCUGCUGUAAGAUCUGAAUUGGGAGCAGCUGCCAGCUGCCUCUUCUCUUCGAGAUGAAUUCGUUUUACUGGAAAGACGGCUGCUGCUGCUCUGAAGUGGCCAGAUGGACCCGUACUGAAGACUUGGGGGAAUUUGGGAAGGCAGGGAGCCCACACUGGCAGCAGCCCCUGCCCUGUUGGGGUGCUGAGCAGGGCUUUGGGAGGGGUGUGCUGGGGGUCAGUUCCUUGUGUUGCUUCUUCCAAAGAGCAGCUGUUUCAGGCUUACCUGAAUUAUCACCGUCAUGAACAGAGCUUCCUUUGGGAAUACAUCCUCAGAGAUAGCACUUGAUAUCUGACCCUUGUUUGCAUUUCAUGCCAGGUGUCUGAAAUUUUGCCGUGGGCUCAAACGGACGGUUAAAUCCAGGAGGAGAAGUGCGGGAUUAGUUCCCAGGGAGACAGGAUGUGUGCGAGUGUUUUAUUCUCUCAUAGCUUUUGCCGAAAACAAACAAGCUUUGUUGUGAGCCAGGAAUAGCAGGACUAAUGACGGGCACCUCUACAGGGUGAUGUGCCUUCAGAGCUCUCUGCAAAUGCCUGCCCAUUUGUCUGCUCGUCGGGAGGGAGAGGGAUGCUGCCUUCCCGACUGAUUGCCUGUCCCUGACUGCCUUUCAGCUCGCUUUGCUAGCGAGACAGGAGAAAAAGGGCAGCCCUUCUGUGGCUUGUGAAGAGAUGCAGCCCAGCAAGCUGGAAAGCCUGGAGGGGCUGCUCCAGGGCCCUCCUUUGGGUUCAGGAUUGGGGAAGGACAAAACAAAACCAAAACAAAACACUUCCAAACAGACUUGGGAGUGUUUGUCUCCUAGUCAUAGAACUAAAGCUAAGCCACCCAUCUGUGCUCAGCCCCACAAGUUGUGGCUGUGAGAUCUUAGCAUCCAGCUCUCAAUUCAGAAAGGGGGAGCAGCAGCUGGGCAGGGUUAAAAGAAGACAUCUGCUUUGGGGCUGUGCUAAAGGAAAACUGUAGAUCUUUAUUUCUCACUAAGUUCAGCCGAUGGAUGCUUCGAGAAGGUCUUGGUGCUUCGUAUAAUUUUAAUUUGCCCUGUUCUGUUUUUUUUUUUUUUUUUUUUUUUUUUUUUUUUGUUUUUUUUUUUUUUUUUUGAGGUGGAGGGUGCUGCUUUGGGCUGAAGACACCAGCUGGGCACUCGGAGCCCUUCCUUCGCCCUUUUCUGCAAGGUCUGUGGGUCGGUGAUGGGGGCAGGCAGCUGCCCCUGCUUGCAGACGUGCUGGGCAUCUCACCCCACAGCAGAGGUGGAGUGUGACACCUUGUGUCCUCUGCAGGACAGGAACCUGCUCGUGGGCAAUUAAUGCUGAUACCUAAAACGCAGACCUUAAUUUUCUUGCACAUUAUGAUGGGCAUCUCAGUUCUGUCUAAAAAGCCGAUUUUUUUUUCCUCUAAGGACUGCAGCAAGCACAUGUUUUAAUGCGCUGAUAUAGCCAGCAGGCUUGAAGGAUACGGGUGAGAUAAGGUGUCCCAUACUUUGGGCUCCAAUCCAGUCAGCCUGGUGAAAGGCCUUUUGUACGAAGAAAGCUUAUUCUCUUUGUUACGGAAGACACUGAGCUGCUCAGGCCUGACAAAAGGAGAAGCUAGAUGAGCACUGCGGCAUUCACAGAAAUGUGGAUGAGCUGUUUGUGAGCCCUUUGCCUUUUCUUAAAUAACUAACUACUGCAGGACUUGGCUUACAGGGAAAAAUCGAGUCCCAGGGAGAUCAGUCAGGUUGCCUGGUCCCUGUAAUGAGAUCAGUGCAAGUCUCUCACACCCGCUGUCAUCCUUGGUCUGUCUUUGGUCAUGCUGCUUUUGGCAUGGGAGAGAUUUUUAUUUUUAUUUUUUCUAUCUGCAGGAAAGAGGAAAAGGUUGUAGAUUGGGUAUGGAAAUGGAUAUUUUUUCCUGCUGUGGGAGUUAGGGAUGAAGUCCUUGGGUUGGUCUGGUGGAAGUGAAGGCCCCUGGGUGAGGAGGAGUUGUUUGGGCUGCUUGUUUUGGCUUCUCCCUGCUACGGGGGAAUGAUUGUGAUUAAUUGUAAUUAAACUAAUUGUUGUUAAGCCCAUCUUAGGGAUGUUUAACACUGAUCUGGUAGAACCUGCUAACAGGUUCCUUUUUUCACCUCUGUCCUAGGUGAGUGGUGGCAUUUUUAAGUGUGACUCAGGAUGCCCAGAAACGCCAAAUUUCCGAGCCACGUACACCUUGGGAAGGCUUCAGCUCACCCCUUCUCGCAGGGACAGGAGCAUUCCUGGCCGUCCAGUCCUCGUGCAUCUGUCCUGAUGAAUUUCCUCCUGACAAGAGGAUCUCUUGUUUACCAAGACUUAAUUUGCUGCUGCUGUUUAUUGCCCACCUGAAGUCCUCCUGCUGGCCUUGUUGUCCUUCCAAGAGCAGCCAGUCAUUCUCCCACUGCAGCGGGAAGAGGGAUGGGGUCAGUGCUUGAUGGCUGACAGCUCCUUUUUAUGUUCCCAUCUGUUCCCUCUUUUCCCUCGUAAUGAGAUCAGGUGCCGGAGUGCACUGAGAGGACUUCUCAAUGUGAGAGGAAGUCACAAAUGGGGCACUUAGGUCCUUGCUUUCAUCUUUGGCGGUGAGAGGCUGCUCAAAUCAAACCUGCGUCCUCUUGAGCUGCUCCUAGAACAGACCCAGUAACGGGAAACCGAAGCUGUGUGGUGGGGCUGCCAGCUCUGCCUCAGAUAACAGAACCAGAUGUUGGUGUUUGAAAAUGCCCUGCAGGAGAGGAACUGGACCUGUGGAUGGUGUACUUGCUGAGAGCCAAGGAGGCCUAUUGCAUGGACUCUGGGCCGGUCCUAACACAAAUGAAGCUGCCAAGUGAUGCUGGAAACCACAAGCUGUUGUAGGAUAGGCAAGUGAGGGUUUUUUCCUCAGCCUGAAGGAGCUGCAGGGAGGAAGGACUGCCUCUGGCAUUGAGCUGUGAGCCCUGGAGCUGACCCUAGCAGCAUCCUGCUGGGCCAUGGGUGCUCAGGUAUUACCAUGUGGGAUGCCAAGCAGUACUCGGGCUCCUGGAGGCCAGUUUCCCUGUGGAGUUGCUGCCUGGUCUGGCCAAAUUUCUUCCUGCCCCAUUCCUGAGCUGAGACUGACCCCUGCUCUGCCCUGGUAGCCACAAAAGACCAUGAAAUGAAGACUACAGUGUGGUGUGCAGCAUAUUUGCCCCGUGUAUUUCAAGGAUUUCGGGUGGUCUUUGCCUCACAGAUAGGGGAAAAGAAAUAUGAAUCCUGCUUGAACUGAAGAGGAUUAUUUGGGACGUCACGAAGUUGCAGUUGGAAUGCAGGUCUCCUGCUAUGGCUGCUUCAUUUGGUGAUGAGCUUGCAAGCCUCUUCUGGAACUGAUAAGCCGUGUCCUGAGGAAGAAUCCUGGAACAGACUCGGUCUCGUGUGCUUCAGUCCUGAUGUGGGUGUGCUGGUCAGUCCUGCUGCUAGGUAUGAUGCUUUCCUGGUCAUGAUGCUCCAACAAAGCAAGGAGAGCUUGCUUGGCCAGCACAUCUCCACCAUCCCUGGCCUGCACUUACUCCUGAGGCACUUGCUCCUCUUGCAGGAGCCCACCCAGAUCCUUCCAGUCUCGAUUCACCACCACCAAGGCUCUCCUGUGAGCCAGCUCUGGUAGCAGGGAGAGGAUUUACAUCUUGUGGGUGCAGACUGUGUGUACGAGCAAAGUGUGUACCCCCAAAUAUUGAUUUGAUGUCCAUUUCUGGUUAAAAAAAGGCAGCUUGGAGGGUUGUCUGCUGUCUGUAGAACCAUGGUUAUGGUGAAGAAGCUACAGGAGAAGCUGGCUGUGGCUUUCCUCUGCUCAGCUGCCACCAAUGGAGGACAGCCUGGCUGAUGGUGUACACCUGCAGUGACACUUCCCUGCUGUCCACUGUGCUGUCUGUUGAGAAUGUGAUGUAUUCAUUUCCCUCCAAGUCCCUGCCAGCUAGAAAAAGUAAUAAUCUGCAGUGUUUACCUUCCCUGUUCUCAGAAAUUAAGCAGCUUUGGCAGAACGUAUGUGUUUUGCAAAAUGUUGGAGCCCCCCAAGGGUUUUGUGUGCAGAAGCUGAGAAAAUUGAAUAAAACAGUGCUUUGCACAGGGAGCAUGCAGUCCUUUGGCUCCAUCACCAGGGUCUCUGCAGCUCUCCUCUCAGUGCAUUGGCUUUCACCUGCUUCCUGUGAGGGCUUUGAGUGAUUAAGGUCUUGACAAAGGGAUUUGACUCCUCUUUGGGUUCUCCAGGGUUACCCAGCCCAGAGAGGUGCCUGAGCCAGGAGCAGGGCUGAGCCCCCUGGGUGCUGUGUUUCUCCAACCUGGUGCACCCCUACAAAGUGGGGACCUCUUAAAUGCUGUAAUCUGGAAUUUCCCCAGGGAUAAACCACGUCCUCGUGUGUCCUUGCAUUGUUGCCCUCCAGUAGAUGGGUUUGGAUAUGUUCAGCCUGGUGUCUGAGGUCCAGUCUUGGCAGUAGCAGAUGGAGUUUUAUCUGGAAUUGAGGCAUCCUUACUGUGGUGUCCACUGGGUAAAGUGGGUGUAAGCAAACUGACCUGCACCCACUGCUCUCUGGCUGAUGGAAGGAAAACACCUACAGGUCACAUCUGGGCACUGACCUCAGAGCCCUGCCGUUCCCUCUGCCUGUUAAUGACUUGCUCAUCUCCGUAGCAGCGCAGGGAACAUAAAGGAAAGAGAAGUCAGCACAUAGGUAAUGCAACUCUCGGGUCAAAGCACAGUGGGAGGAUGAGCUCAGGUUGUUCCCCUGCUGAAGGCAGUACUGGGACAGGGUGCCUGCCUGGCCAGAGGGUGAUUUGAUGCCCUGUGUACCUGGGGUGACUUAUUGCAAGGAUUUGAAUCUCUUUUGCUUGAUACUUUGAAGAGACUUUAAGGAAUGUCUGAUUCUCAAUGUGCAUAUAUAUGUUCCAUAAUUAUGUACCUCUUCCUGUGACAGUAGCUUUGUUUUCCAGAAUGACAGGUUACCU